rnacentral:rRNA from 1 species
UACGUAGGGGCCUAGCGUUGUCCGGAUUUAUUGGGCGUAAAGGGCGCGUAGGCGGUUCGUACAGUCAGACGUGAAAUUCCCGGGCUCAACCUGGGGGCUGCGUUUGAUACGUGCGGGCUUGAGUUCGGAAGAGGGUCGUGGAAUUCCCAGUGUAGAGGUGAAAUUCGUAGAUAUUGGGAAGAACACCGGUGGCGAAGGCGGCGACCCUGGUCCGAUACUGACG